rnacentral:rRNA from 1 species
UACGUAGGGGGCGAGCGUUAUCCGGAUUUACUGGGUGUAAAGGGAGCGUAGACGGCAUGGCAAGUCUGGAGUGAAAGCCCGGGGCCCAACCCCGGGACUGCUCUGGAAACUGCCAGGCUAGAGUGCUGGAGAGGUAAGUGGAAUUCCUAGUGUAGCGGUGAAAUGCGUAGAUAUUAGGAGGAACACCAGUGGCGAAGGCGGCUUACUGGACAGUGACUGACGUUGAGGCUCGAAAGCGUGGGGAGCAA